AGAGUUUGAUCCUGGCUCAGGAUGAACGCUAGCGACAGGCCUAACACAUGCAAGUCGAGGGGCAGCGAAGAGGUAGCAAUACCUCUGUCGGCGACCGGCGCACGGGUGAGUAACACGUAUGCAAUCCACCUGUAACAGGGGGAUAACCCGGAGAAAUCCGGACUAAUACCCCAUAAUAUGGGCGCUCCGCAUGGAGGGCUCAUUAAAGAAAGCAAUUUUGGUUACAGACGAGCAUGCGCUCCAUUAGCCAGUUGGCGGGGUAACGGCCCACCAAAGCGACGAUGGAUAGGGGUUCUGAGAGGAAGGUCCCCCACAUUGGAACUGAGACACGGUCCAAACUCCUACGGGAGGCAGCAGUGAGGAAUAUUGGUCAAUGGUCGGCAGACUGAACCAGCCAAGUCGCGUGAGGGAAGACGGCCCUACGGGUUGUAAACCUCUUUUGUCGGAGAGUAAAGUGCGCUACGCGUAGCGUAUUGCAAGUAUCCGAAGAAAAAGCAUCGGCUAACUCCGUGCCAGCAGCCGCGGUAAUACGGAGGAUGCAAGCGUUAUCCGGAUUUAUUGGGUUUAAAGGGUGCGUAGGCGGCACGCCAAGUCAGCGGUGAAAUUUCCGGGCUCAACCCGGAAUGUGCCGUUGAAACUGGCGAGCUAGAGUACACAAGAGGCAGGCGGAAUGCGUGGUGUAGCGGUGAAAUGCAUAGAUAUCACGCAGAACCCCGAUUGCGAAGGCAGCCUGCCAAGCCAUGACUGACGCUGAUGCACGAAAGCGUGGGGAUCAAACAGGAUUAGAUACCCUGGUAGUCCACGCAGUAAACGAUGAUCACUAGCUGUUUGCGAUACACAGUAAGCGGCACAGCGAAAGCGUUAAGUGAUCCACCUGGGGAGUACGCCGGCAACGGUGAAACUCAAAGGAAUUGACGGGGGCCCGCACAAGCGGAGGAACAUGUGGUUUAA
rnacentral:rRNA from 1 species